rnacentral:rRNA from 1 species
UACAGAGGUCUCAAGCGUUGUUCGGAUUUAUUGGGCUUAAAGGGUGCGUAGGCGGUCCUAUAAGUCAGUGGUGAAAUACUUCAGCUCAACUGGAGAGGUGCCAUUGAUACUGUAAGACUUGAGUACAGACGAGGUAGGCGGAAUUGACGGUGUAGCGGUGAAAUGCUUAGAUAUCGUCAAGAACACCGAUAGCGAAGGCAGAUUACUAGACUGUAACUGACGCUGAUGCACGAAAGUGUGGGGAGCAAACAGG